rnacentral:rRNA from 1 species
CAGUAGCCGCGGUAAUACGUAGGGGGCGAGCGUUGUCCGAAUUUACUGGGCGUAAAGAGCAUUAAGGCGGAUUUUUAAGUGAGAGGUGAAAGGUUCAGGGCUCAACCCGGACACUGCCUUUCAUACUGGGAAUCUUGAGUGCGGGAGAGGCGAGUGGAAUUUCUGGUGUAGCGGUGAAAUGCGUAGAUAUCAGGAGGAACACCCAUGGCGAAGGCAGCUCGCUGGCCUGCAACUGACGCUGUAGUGCGAAAGCGUGGGGAGCGAACAGGAUUAGAGACCCCCGUAGUCCCUGUCUCUUAUA